rnacentral:tRNA from 1 species
UCACUGGCGGUCCAGGGGCUAAGACUUUGUGCUGCUGAUGCAGGGGGCCCAGGUUCAAUUCCUGGUCAGGGAA